GACCUCAUGGCCCAACGGAUAAGGCGCUGGUCUACGGAACCAGAGAUUCUGGGUUCGAUCCCCAGUGACGUCG
rfam:Selaginella moellendorffii unplaced genomic scaffold SELMOscaffold_68, whole genome shotgun sequence.